rnacentral:rRNA from 2 species
GGGUUGUGAGGUUAAGCGACUAAGCGUACACGGUGGAUGCCCUGGCAGUCAGAGGCGAUGAAGGGCGUGCUAAUCUGCGAUAAGCGCCG